ACGUAGGUGACAAGCGUUGUCCGGAUUUACUGGGCGUAAAGAGCGUGCAGGCGGUCGAUCAAGUCGAGUGUGAAAGCCCCCGGCUCAACUGGGGAGGGUCAUUCGAUACUGAUCGACUCGAAGGCAGGAGAGGGUAGUGGAAUUCCCGGUGUAGUGGUGAAAUGCGUAGAUAUCGGGAGGAACACCAGUGGCGAAGGCGACUACCUGGACCAGCACUGACACUGAGGCACGAAAGCGUGGGGAGCAAACAGGA
rnacentral:rRNA from 1 species